rnacentral:rRNA from 1 species
CUGAGAUCUGAUAGCAAGCUGUACUUGUACAGCGAAGUGGUUGAUGCCAUGCUUCCAGGUAAAGUCUCUAAGCUUCAGUUACACAGGAAUCGUACCCGAAACCGACACAGGUGGUCAGGUCGAGUAGACCAAGGCGCUUGAGAGAACUCUGCUGAAGGAACUAGGCAAAAUGGUACCGUAACUUCGGGAGAAGGUACGCUGUUGUUGGUGAUGGAACUCGCUUCCUGAGCUGACGACAGCCGCAGAAACCAGGCCGCUGCAACUGUUUAUUAAAAACAUAUCACUCUGCAAACACGAAAGUGGACGGAAAGGGUGUGAUGCCUGCCCGGUGCUGGAAGGUUAAUUGAUGGGGUUAGCGUAAG